AUUGAACGCUGGCGGCAGGCCUAACACAUGCAAGUCGAGCGGAUGAAGGGAGCUUGCUCCUGGAUUCAGCGGCGGACGGGUGAGUAAUGCCUAGGAAUCUGCCUGGUAGUGGGGGAUAACGUCCGGAAACGGGCGCUAAUACCGCAUACGUCCUGAGGGAGAAAGUGGGGGAUCUUCGGACCUCACGCUAUCAGAUGAGCCUAGGUCGGAUUAGCUAGUUGGUGGGGUAAAGGCCUACCAAGGCGACGAUCCGUAACUGGUCUGAGAGGAUGAUCAGUCACACUGGAACUGAGACACGGUCCAGACUCGUACGGGAGGCAGCAGUGGGGAAUAUUGGACAAUGGGCGGAAGCCUAAUCCAGCCAUGCCGCGUGUGUGAAGAAGGUCUUCGGAUUGUAAAGCAAUUUAAGUUGGGAGGAAGGGCAGUAAGUUAAUACCUUGCUGUUUUGACGUUACCAACAGAAUAAGCACCGGCUAACUUCGUG
rnacentral:rRNA from 1 species